ACACCUCUCUUUUUCCCUCUUCCUUUCUUUCUUUCUUUUCCCUCUUCUUUCUUUCUUCCAGCCGAAACAUUCAUUUCCCAUUAAAAAAAUUUCAGCAAAAUUUUUUUCCCCCCCCACACCUCUCCUUUUCCCUCUUCCUUCUUUCUUUCUUUUCCCCUUUCUUCUUUCUUUCUACCAACCGAAACAGUCAGCCUCCACUCCCAGCCGAAACGGUCAGCCUCCACCAGCCAGCCCACCUACGACGCCGUCGACGCCAAACCACAAGCCACCUGCGACGGCCGAAGUCCACCAGCCAGCCACCUGCGACGCCGUCGACGGUCUCCUCAUCUUCAAACAGCCGCAAGGUUGUUGGAUGAUAUAUUACAUACCAAUGAGUUGGAUCAUUUGUACGCAUUUCAGCAUCCAUGUGAAGUUAGUGUAGGUCAUGAGAAUAAGUGUGUCCAAGCACUUAAAGAUCGAUUCAUUCAAAUGGGCGAGAAGCAGUUUCUUAUUUGUCCCUGGAAUAACAAUGCUUUCACGCUAUAUGAUACGGAAAAAGGAAAAGAGUUGUAAGUCUAAAGUAUUAUAAUCCAAAAUGCCAACAACAACCAAAAACCACAAAGUGCGGUAGCUACUGCAUGAAGUAUGCUAGGGAUCUCAUUUCACAAUAAAGAACCAGAGCAUAUCUAUCGAAUAAUUUCAAUUCAAAUUUACCAUAUACUGACGCUGAACUUAAUGAAGUUCAAGAAGAGUGAGCAAAAUAUAUUCUACCGCAACUCGCUAAAUGAUGGCAUACAUGCUAAGUACCUAUGUGAGGGGAUUUAGUCAUUUUUUGAAAUUUGUAUUUCUUUUAUUAGAAAUUGUUAGAAUUAAUCAAAUAAAGAAUUAAUCUAACAAAUUAUAAGUAGUUAAUUUAGUUUUUUGAGGUGCAUACUGUGCUAUGUGCUAAAUAUUCAUUUUAUGACCAAUUUUUUUGGAAUUAUGUAUUUCUUUUAUUUAGAAAGUGUUCGAAUUAAUCAAAUAUAAAGUUAAUGUUACCAAUGUUAA